rnacentral:lncRNA from 1 species
UAGGUCUAAGCAUAUAGAUAUUAAACAUCAUUUUAUUAGAGACCAUGUUAUUAAACCUUUGUUGGCACUUCGGAUCAACUAGCUGAUAUUUUUACUAAACAUUUAUUGGAGGAAAGAUUUUGUGCUCUAAGGAACUACUUGGCAUUGUCUGUCUCUCAACUAACUCGUAGGGUCAAAGUGUAACUUUUUUAAAAAUUCUUGUCAUUACUGUCUUCAUUAAUUACGCCGUCAUUCUUUCCCUCUCUUCCUUUUCUAAUUUCACAUCAGUUGCAGCAAAGUUGAAAAGCCAAUCAACGCGUAGGUCUAACUGACAACUUUUCCUUUUCCACUCAACCGUCAAAUCCCCCUUCCUACUAAGUCCUUAUCACCCCUUUCCCUUUCAUCCUUUCCUCCAAAACAUUUCUCUUCCUGUUCAGAAUCCUCGUCUCUUCCAUGGCCAAAACUCCCAAAAACCCCUCUGCUUACACAAGAAAGAGCACCCGUUCCAAAUCAAUACCCACAUCUGCUCUGCCUGAGCAGGUAUUCCUAGGGUCCGACAGGUCUGAGGAAUGUGCCUCUUAUCAAGGUGCAUAUUCCGAGCACUUUCUGCUUCUUGGUGAAAACGCCGCUGGUAAACGACCUAUGGAUGAAGCCCCUAUCUCCUCUCCCAAGAAACCAAAUUUUUGUUUUUCUGUCUCUCUCGAAUCUGACCUCAAUUUCUGGGACAUCCCAACAUAGAUUUCUUUAUUUACCUCAAAGACAAACCUAUUGCCAAUGGUCGUGUGGUAGAUCUAGAUGGUAUGGACUCCCUCAACUGUAAGGUAAAAGAACUUUUCGUUCAUCAGGAGUGGGACAAAUUUCUCUCUAUCUCUCUGCCUAAUGUGUACGAACCUCUAUUCCGUAUGUUCUAUGCAAAUCUUCGCUCUAGCAAGUCUGAUAGGCUCAAAACCCUUGUCCUUGGCAAAUGCAUUGUUCUUGACUGCAACCUAUUUGAUUCCAUCUUUCUUUGUCGCUGUUCUGGUUUUCCAAUGGUUUUUAAAAAUGUGUGGCCGGAAGAUUUCGAAAUCUCCUUUGAUCAGACCAAACAAAUCAUUGCAUAAAACCUCUCUGCCAACCUUCCACAUCAAUUAGAACCCAGUGAUGAUAUCUUUGAAACUAGAGUUAUUUCUCACAUUGUUGCAACCACUCUCAUUCCCAGAACUGGCUCCUUUUCAACACUCUCUCAAAGGAACACCUUCUUCGUCUACUGCCUUAUCUCUAAGCUCAAAAUCAACGUGUCCUCCUGUGUUAUCAACUUUAUGAUUGAGAGUGUUGAAGACCCCACUAGCCUUACUUAUGGUAUGACUAUCACCCACAUUCUAAAAGCCCACCAAAUUUCUCUUUCAGACUACCCCUUUGUUCCUGUGUCUAAUUGCUACAAUUCCAGGGACUUCUCUAGCAUGGGAUAUGUACUAAUAAAAGGGGUCUGGGUCAAGAAGGGAGAAAAUGAGGCAAAACCCACUCCUGAAGGAAUCAAGCCAUCUUUGGUUACUCCACCUCCGUCUAUUUCCUCAGAUCUCAAUGACAAGCUGCGUUCUGUGGAGUCUCAACUCUCCGACAUCAAGUCGACUGUGGAUGUCAUUCAUGCUAUCUCCAAGGAAACAGGGUCUGAUGUUUCAAAAAUCAGGGUGGAUGUGCAAAGAGUGCGAGAGAAUGCGAUCAAGGCAUUUAAAGAGGUGCAUGACAUGUUAGAUUGAAUGCAGGUUGUUGCCAACACCAGGUUUGGCCAGUUUAAGGACGCUAUCUGCAACACUCUUACAUAUUUUUUGCGUCGUGAAUGAUUGUGGCUUUCAGACAUUUUUAUGUUGUUUUUAACUUUUUGAUUGUGAUUGGGCUUUGCCCGUGGAUGAUCUUUUUGUGGAUUAUGCUUUUGCUGCUCCCACUUUUGCUGAUGUCAAAAAAGGGGAGAAAUAUAUAUGCUGUCUUAGCUAUGCAGGAUUACUCGAUGUGACUUCUAUGUGCCGAUGCUAUGGCAUAGUUAUUAUUAUAUCUGCAGAGGACAAGUUGACUAUUUGUCAAGUCGACUUCAUCAUGUACUUGUAUAUCUGUUAGAUAAUCCUUUACAGGUCCCAGUCGACUGCAUCUAAUGAGGGGGAGAUGUCACACCUCCUUUUUCACUAUACACCCCUACGAAAGGAGCGUAAAGGAGUAUUUCCACUUAAAGGAUAAUCGGAACGAGAUUUGGUUAUUAUUUAUUCAGAGUCGUCACUUGGCAGAUUUAUGGUGUCCCGAGACACUGAUUUGAAUCCCGAACAGAGGAAGAUUAUGACUCCGUUACAGUCUGCGAAUCAGAAAUCCGAGUAAGGAAUUCUAUUAAGCCGGGAGAAGGUGUUAGGCAUUCCAAGAUUCCGUGGUUCUAGCACGGUCGCUUAACUGUUAUAUUUGAUUUUAUCUGAUUUUAAUACAUGCUAACUUAUGUGUCCUUUUAUUUAUAUAACGCUUUUACCAUUAUUUAUUUUAAAAGACUUGCGACGUUGUGAAAACAUAUUUCUGAUCACGUCACCACCAGUGUACACGUGAUCGUCGACACGUUGCGACUUCGUCGAGAUUUGGAUUUGGGGUUUCAUCAAUGCACACCCGAGUUUAGGAAGGUACUUUAAUUAAAACGCGUCUAAAGAUUCUAUCGCACUAUUAUCUUUUGGGAGGAUCGUGAAAUUCGCUAAACACCCUUCCCGAUUCUCUUAGUAUUUUUAAAACUUUAUUAAGGGCCCCACAAUUUGUAUUUUUGUUGGCGAGGCUCGUCUCAUUUUAUUUUAAAAGAAAACCGAAAAGCAACUAUGGUUUUUUAUUUUUAUUUAUCUUUAAUAAAGAAAAGAAGCCCUAAAUAAUGAGGGUUGCCUACGUAUCUCACCGCCUAUGAGAAUCAGACGAUGCACAGUUCGGGCAGAUUAACCAAACCAUUUAAAACAUGACUUUUUUUCAUUUUCUCUUUUGGAAUUCCAUAAGCAAAUAAUAAAAUUAAAAAAAACUACUUUUAGAACAAGACACUUUUUCUUUUCUUCUUUUUCAACAAUAAAACAACCUAUUUUUCCAACAUCCUAUUUUUCAAAUUAAAAUAAAAGACUCUUUAUUUCCCCAGUAAGAUAACCUAUUUUUCCGGACUAAAAAUAAAAAGCUCUUCUUUUUCCUUCUUUUUCAUCAAAUAAUAAAACAAAUAAACUAUUUUGAAAUAACAAUCAAAACUCUUUUUUUUUCUUUUCAUUUUUCAUGGUAAACAAACUAUAUUUCCUUUUCCUAUUUUUGAAAACAAGACAAAAUAACGACUCUUUUUUCUUUCAAAUUUUUCAUGGCAAAACAAAUUAUUUUUCCUUUUAUAUUUUUGAACACAAAAAAAAAAUAACGAUUUUUUUCAUUUUCAACAACCUAUUUUUCUCAAUUAAAAAUAAAAACUCUUUUUUUUUCAUUUUUUAGUAACACAACCUAUUUCCGAAAAAGAAUAACGUCUCUGUUUUCUUUUUCAAUAAAACACCCUAUAUUUUCAUUGGCAAAUAAACUAUUUUGAAACAAUAAGAACAAAAAUCAAGACUUUUUUUCUUUUCUCAUGACAAAACAAACUAUUCUUCAUUUUCUGUUUUUUGCAAACAGGACAAACUAAAAAAAAAAAUGACGGGCUCUAUUUGAAUAUAACAACUAUAUAAACAUUUUUAUAUUUUUUCAAAAUUUUGGCAGAGUUUCGACAUUACUUGGACAUCGAUUUUUCCAAAACAAUCAAUUAAUUCCCUAACCGCUAUUUUUCUCUUUUUCUUUUCCUCAAUUUCACAAAAUUUCCGAGAUUCAAAAGACAGUCAGCAUCCGGGUUCGAACAAAUAAAUGCACAGAAUAAGUAGGAUGCACCAGGAUGGUCUUUUUAGUUGAGGUAGCUAGCCUUAGACGGAUCAAAGCCCUGUGUUGAGUCCCCUAAGUCAGAUGCAGCAUGAUGCAAAUAAGCGUUCGUACUAAGGAUCCGGCAUGAAGUCAAGUUAUUCUAUGUUCAAAACCUGGUUCGAUGUUCUAGACUGUGUACCCGAGCGGACAACCCGAGUCGAGGAGAGGGCAACUUACCAGGAACCAAAAGUCCAUCCGACAUCGUGACUUAUCUGAGCCACUUUCUUAUUUCAGGGUAUAAAACUAGCAGAAUAGGGAGUCUCAACCAGUAAGCACAUCCCCGGAGGUAAAGAGAGGAGGGUGUCGGCACAAUUUAUAUACGGUUCAGAUAAUAUUAAAGCGGCAACAUUUAGCACAUUCAUCAUGAAACAUGUGGGAAAAUGAGGUCAAAUACAACAAUUUUUCUAAGCUCGAGUUCUUAACCCUGAACAAAAUAUUCUGGGUUCUCAUCCCCAGCAGAGUCGCCAGAGUUGUCACACCUCCUUUUUCACUAUACACCCCUGCGAAAAGGGCGUAAAUGAGUAUUUCCACUUAAAAGACAAUCGAACGGGAUUUGGUUAUUAUUUAUUCAGAGUCGCCACUUGAGAGAUUUAUGGUAUCCCAAGUCACUGAUUUGAAUCCCGAACCGAGGAAGAUUAUGACUCUGUUACAGUCUGCGAACCAGAAAUCCGAGUAA